UACGUAGGGUGCAAGCGUUGUCCGGAAUUAUUGGGCGUAAAGAGCUCGUAGGCGGUUUGUCGCGUCUGCUGUGAAAACCCGAGGCUCAACCUCGGGCCUGCAGUGGGUACGGGCAAACUAGAGUGCGGUAGGGGAGAAUGGAAUUCCUGGUGUAGCGGUGGAAUGCGCAGAUAUCAGGAGGAACACCGAUGGCGAAGGCGGGUCUCUGGGCAGUAACUGACGCUGAGGAGCGAAAGCGUGGGGAGCGAGCAGG
rnacentral:rRNA from 1 species